GACUACACGAAGCUGGAAUCGCUGUAAUCGCGAAUCAGAAUGUCGCGGUGAAUACGUUCCCGGGUCUUGUACACACCGCCCGUCACACCAUGGGAGUCGGGAAUGCCCGAAGUCAGUGACCCAACCUUUGGAGGGAGCUGCCGAAGGCAGGUCUGAUAACUGGGGUGAAGUCGUAACAAGGUAGC
rnacentral:rRNA from 1 species